rnacentral:rRNA from 1 species
UACGAAGGGGGCUAGCGUUGCUCGGAAUCACUGGGCGUAAAGCGCACGUAGGCGGAUUGCUAAGUCAGGGGUGAAAUCCUGGAGCUCAACUCCAGAACUGCCUUUGAUACUGGCGAUCUUGAGUCCGGGAGAGGUGAGUGGAACUGCGAGUGUAGAGGUGAAAUUCGUAGAUAUUCGCAAGAACACCAGUGGCGAAGGCGGCUCACUGGCCCGGUACUGACGCUGAGGUGCGAAAGCGUGGGAGCAAACAGG